GGGAGACCUCCGAGGAUAAGCUAAAGGACUACUUUAGCAACUAUGGUGAAGUUAUGCAUACGGUCGUUAUGAGGGAUAAGAUCACUAGCAGACCUAGAGGCUUUGGCUUUGUUGUCUUUGCAGAUCCCUCUGUUCUCGAUCGAGUUCUCCAGGAUAAGCACACUAUCGACGGUAAAACGGUUGAGGCCAAGAGGGCCUUAUCACGGGAGGAACAGCAGACCCCUGCCAGAGCAAUCAAUUCUAAUGCUACUAGAAACUCUGGUGGCGGCGGUGGUGGAAACAUGAGAACCAAAAAAAUUUUUGUUGGGGGAUUGCCU
rnacentral:misc_RNA from 1 species